GUUGAAUGUUAUCCCCGACCAAUCAACAGGCUGUGAUAGCGUACUGCCACUUUCACUUUCUGAUUACUAGAAAUCAGGAGGACGGUUCAAGAGUGAAAAUUCCCGACACCUGGUAAACCUGUCCUCCUGGUAGUGCUGGAUCACACCUUCGAUCCAGACUACACUGUACCUGACAGUAGCAGACUAGUGACCAGAGGUGAUGUAAUACUCACAGUGGACUGUCUCUUCCAUGAGAGCAAAGGACUAUACUGAAGUGUCCACGCAAUGAAGCAGCAGUCAAUUACAUUUUGAAGAAGCUUGACAUACGCCCUGAGACUAUAAAUGAAGAGGCAAACUGUACAGCCAAUGGAGACAAGCUGUUGUGGUAUUUUCCUCAACGACCACUGUUGCUGUUUUCUACCCUCCAGAGUAUGUCCUACAGAGGACCAGAAAACCCCUUAUUCGAGAACAGAGGACAGACACAUUGUGUGGUCCUCUUGUAAUGCAUCCAAUGACUGUGACUGAAAUCAAUUGCAGGAAGUACAUUUUCUGAUGAAUAUUACAUUAUGUGAGAUUUGUUUUAGGGGAAAUAGACACAUGCAUCUCAAUCAUCUGAAAUUAGCCUACUAUAACAUGUAGUGGUAUAUUCUCUUUCCAAGCCGUGUACCUGUAUAUUUACUUUAUGUGUAGGCCGCAGCUACAACAUCAAACAAAAACAAGAAAUGUGUGCUUAAAAUACAAUUUAUACAUUGAUAAUGACUGAGAUGGUUAUACCUGUGAUAAAACAAAACAAUAUAUUCAAUAUUAUUAUAAACCGGGAAGUUUAGCUCCUAGAUGUUGAUUGCCUGAAACCUUUUUGCAGCGUUCACGUGCUGGUCGGAAAUCGGAAAUGUACGACUUGCUAACUGGUUGAAUGCGGCAUGUGUAAAAAACAAUAUACCACGGCUAAGGGCUGUAUCCAGACACUUCACUUUGCUCUGUGCCUAAAAACAGCCCUCAUGCUGCGUUCAUGACAAAGUUGGAAAUUACCACAUACAACUGGGAAAAAUCCACUUGAAUGGCCCCCCAACUGGUCAUUACUAGUGGGAAACUCAUCCAUCAUCCUGAUCUCCAACUUCUCCCACAUGCUGACCUCACCUACUAAGGAAAUUACCUCUAUAAAAGCAUUUAACAGUUAAAUGCAAAAACCAAACUAUUUAUAAAAAGCUAUCCAGUAAUAUGUUUACAAGCAUGAUAGCUGUACUUUUAGUUGAUGGUUUAGGCAUCUUGUUGGACUUUAGCCAAUCAUGGUUAUGAAGGCAGCAUCAGCUGUGGUAUAUUGGCCACAUACCACACCCCCUCGGCCCUUAUUGUUUAAAUAAUAUACUGAACAUGCCUUAGACAUUACUAUGUCUAAUAUGUGAGCCAAUGAACUCACAAAUUCAUGCAGAUUAUUUAUGUUAAACCAAUCAAUACUUGCAUUGUGUCAAGCUAUUUGACCUUUACUUUGUCAGAAAAUUGAGUAUUGUUGUGACAAUAAUGACCUGCUGUGCAAGAAACCAAUA